CCUACGGGGGGCAGCAGUGAGGAAUAUUGGUCAAUGGACGAGAGCCUGAACCAGCCAAGUAGCGUGAAGGAUGACUGCCCUAUGGGUUGUAAACUUCUUUUAUAUGGGAAUAAAGUGUUCCACGUGUGGGAUUUUGUAUGUACCAUAUGAAUAAGGAUCGGCUAACUCCGUGCCAGCAGCCGCGGUAAUACGGAGGAUCCGAGCGUUAUCCGGAUUUAUUGGGUUUAAAGGGAGCGUAGGUGGAUUGUUAAGUCAGUUGUGAAAGUUUGCGGCUCAAACGUAAAAUUGCAGUUGAUACUGGCAGUCUUGAGUACAGUAGAGGUAGGCGGAAUUCGUGGUGUAGCGGUGAAAUGCUUAGAUAUCACGAAGAACUCCGAUUGCGAAGGCAGCUCACUGGACUGCAACUGACACUGAGGCUCGAAAGUGUGGGUAUCAAACAGGAUUAGAUACCCCAGUAGUC
rnacentral:rRNA from 1 species